GCGGCGUGCCUAAUACAUGCAAGUCGAACGAACUCUGGUAUUGAUUGGUGCUUGCAUCAUGAUUUACAUUUGAGUGAGUGGCGAACUGGUGAGUAACACGUGGGAAACCUGCCCAGAAGCGGGGGAUAACACCUGGAAACAGAUGCUAAUACCGCAUAACAACUUGGACCGCAUGGUCCGAGUUUGAAAGAUGGCUUCGGCUAUCACUUUUGGAUGGUCCCGCGGCGUAUUAGCUAGAUGGUGGGGUAACGGCUCACCAUGGCAAUGAUACGUAGCCGACCUGAGAGGGUAAUCGGCCACAUUGGGACUGAGACACGGCCCAAACUCCUACGGGAGGCAGCAGUAGGGAAUCUUCCACAAUGGACGAAAGUCUGAUGGAGCAACGCCGCGUGAGUGAAGAAGGGUUUCGGCUCGUAAAACUCUGUUGUUAAAGAAGAACAUAUCUGAGAGUAACUGUUCAGGUAUUGACGGUAUUUAACCAGAAAGCCACGGCUAACUACGUGCCAGCAGCCGCGGUAAUACGUAGGUGGCAAGCGUUGUCCGGAUUUAUUGGGCGUAAAGCGAGCGCAGGCGGUUUUUUAAGUCUGAUGUGAAAGCCUUCGGCUCAACCGAAGAAGUGCAUCGGAAACUGGGAAACUUGAGUGCAGAAGAGGACAGUGGAACUCCAUGUGUAGCGGUGAAAUGCGUAGAUAUAUGGAAGAACACCAGUGGCGAAGGCGGCUGUCUGGUCUGUAACUGACGCUGAGGCUCGAAAGUAUGGGUAGCAAACAGGAUUAGAUACCCUGGUAGUCCAUACCGUAAACGAUGAAUGCUAAGUGUUGGAGGGUUUCCGCCCUUCAGUGCUGCAGCUAACGCAUUAAGCAUUCCGCCUGGGGAGUACGGCCGCAAGGCUGAAACUCAAAGGAAUUGACGGGGGCCCGCACAAGCGGUGGAGCAUGUGGUUUAAUUCGAAGCUACGCGAAGAACCUUACCAGGUCUUGACAUACUAUGCAAAUCUAAGAGAUUAGACGUUCCCUUCGGGGACAUGGAUACAGGUGGUGCAUGGUUGUCGUCAGCUCGUGUCGUGAGAUGUUGGGUUAAGUCCCGCAACGAGCGCAACCCUUAUUAUCAGUUGCCAGCAUUAAGUUGGGCACUCUGGUGAGACUGCCGGUGACAAACCGGAGGAAGGUGGGGAUGACGUCAAAUCAUCAUGCCCCUUAUGACCUGGGCUACACACGUGCUACAAUGGAUGGUACAACGAGUUGCGAACUCGCGAGAGUAAGCUAAUCUCUUAAAGCCAUUCUCAGUUCGGAUUGUAGGCUGCAACUCGCCUACAUGAAGUCGGAAUCGCUAGUAAUCGCGGAUCAGCAUGCCGCGGUGAAUACGUUCCCGGGCCUUGUACACACCGCCCGUCACACCAUGAGAGUUUGUAACACCCAAAGUCGGUGGGGUAACCUUUUAGGAACCAGCCGCCUAAGGUGGGACAGAUGAUUAG
rnacentral:rRNA from 2 species